CUACGGAGGAUCCGAGCGUUAUCCGGAUUUAUUGGGUUUAAAGGGUGCGCAGGCGGCCAUUUAAGUCAGCGGUUAAAUCGUGGGGCUCAACCCCAUUCUGCCGUUGAUACUGGGUGGCUUGAUUGCGGUCGAGGUUGGCGGAAUUCGUUGUGUAGCGGUGAAAUGCAUAGAUAUGACGAAGAACACCGAUUGCGUAGGCAGCUGACCAGACCGCAAAUGACGCUCAUGCACGAAAGUGCGGGGAUCGAACAGGAUUAGAUACCCUGGUAGUCCGCACAGUAAACGAUGAAUACUUGUUUUCGGCGAUAUAAUGUCGGAGGCAAAGCGAAAGCGAUAAGUAUUCCACCUGGGGAGUACGCCGGCAACGGUGAAACUCAAAUGAAUGGACGGGG
rnacentral:rRNA from 1 species